ACACAAGAGGUGCCACUUAUAGC
rnacentral:siRNA from 1 species